rnacentral:lncRNA from 1 species
GACUCGAUUUGCGACAAUGAAGUGUUUUGGGAGUAGGGGCUCCGUCGAGGCUAGCGGCUACUGGUGCCAAGUGAGUGGCGGAUCCACCAGGUGUUCACCUCGAAGUCGUUCGUGAAUUGGUUGAUGGAGGUCUUUGUUGAAGUUGUUGUUAUCUUUGUUUCUUUGCAGGUUUGUUUUGACAGUAGCUGCUUUGGCAGUAGCAGCAUGCUCGCAUCAACUUGAACAGUAGCAGCGUCUUAACAUUAGAGUCUGUAGUAGCAGCGGGCUAGCAUCACCGUCGGUAGCAGAAAAUGUAGCAAAGCAUCGAUAGUAGCAUCAAAAUUGCUGAAAAAAAUUGCAAUAGCAUUGCCAGUAGCACUUGGGUAUCGGUAGUAGCACAUUCUUACUUGACAGUAGCACAUAGCACAUUUCUGGUCGACAAUAACAGUAGAAUUUGUAGUGAAUGGUAUUCUGGUAAAAUUAU